UAAGCUUCCCCAGACUACACCAAAUGCAGUUCAGUGUUACUCUUCACAAAAUCAGGCCUAAAUUAAUAAAAAAAAAAACAAAAAAAACAAAGUGCUUUAGAUAAGUGACAAACAGAGAAUGUCUAAAGAAGGCCUGUGUGUGUGUGUGUGUGUGUGUGUGUGUGUGUGUGUGUGUGUGUGUGUGUGUGUGUGUGUGUGUGUGUGUGUGUG